AUGGCCAUAUCAUGCUGAAACACCAGUUUUUGUCUGAUCACCAAAGUUAAGCAAUGUUGAACAUGGUCAGUAACUAGAUGGGUAACCACUUGGAAAUACCAGGUGCUGUAAG
rnacentral:rRNA from 1 species